rnacentral:rRNA from 1 species
CUACGGGGGGCUGCAGUGGGGAAUACUGCACAAUGGAGGAAACUCAGAUGCAGCAACGCCGCGUGGAGGAUGACACUUUUCGGAGCGUAAACUCCUUUUAUAUAGGAAGAAGAUGACGGUACUAUAUGAAUAAGCGCCGGCUAACUCCGUGCCAGCAGCCGCGGUAAUACGGAGGGCGCAAGCGUUACUCGGAAUCACUGGGCGUAAAGAGCGUGUAGGCGGAUUAAAAAGUCAGAAGUGAAAUCCUAUAGCUUAACUAUAGAACUGCUUCUGAAACUCUUAAUCUAGAAUAUGGGAGAGGUAGAUGGAAUUUCUGGUGUAGGGGUAAAAUCCGUAGAGAUCAGAAGGAAUACCGAUUGCGAAGGCGAUCUACUAGAACAUUAUUGACGCUGAGACGCGAAAGCGUGGGGAGCAAACAGGAUUAGAUACCCUGGUAGUC